AACGAACGCUGGCGGCGUGCUUAACACAUGCAAGUCGAACGCGAAAGGGACUUCGGUCCUGAGUAAAGUGGCGCACGGGUGAGUAACGCGUAGAUAACCUAUCUUCACGUCUGGAAUAAUACGCCGAAAGGGGUACUAAUACCGGAUAUUCUUGCUUUUCAUAAGUUUUGCAAGGAAAGGUGGCCUCUGUAUAUGCUACUGCGGGAAGAGGGGUCUGCGUACCAUUAGCUAGUAGGUGGGGUAAUGGCCUACCUAGGCAACGAUGGUUAGCGGGUCUGAGAGGAUGAGCCGCCACACUGGGACUGGAACACGGGCCAGACUCCUACGGGAGGCAGCAGUGAGGAAUAUUGCGCAAUGGGGGAAACCCUGACGCAGCGACGCCGCGUGAGUGAGGAAGGCCUUCGGGUCGUAAAGCUCUGUCAAAGGGAAAGAAGUGCAUGAUGGCUAAUACCUGUCAUGUUUGACGGUACCCUUAAAGGAAGCACCGGCUAACUCCGUGCCAGCCGCCGCGGUAAUAC
rnacentral:rRNA from 1 species